GACGAACGCUGGCGGCGUGCCUAAUACAUGCAAGUUGAGCGCUGAAGGUUGGUACUUGUACCAACUGGAUGAGCAGCGAACGGGUGAGUAACGCGUGGGGAAUCUGCCUUUGAGCGGGGGACAACAUUUGGAAACGAAUGCUAAUACCGCAUAAAAACUUUAAACACAAGUUUUAAGUUUGAAAGAUGCAAUUGCAUCACUCAAAAAUGAUCCCGCGUUGUAUUAGCUAGUUGGUGAGGUAAAGGCUCACCAAGGCGAUGAUACAUAGCCGACCUGAGAGGGUGAUCGGCCACAUUGGGACUGAGACACGGCCCAAACUCCUACGGGAGGCAGCAGUAGGGAAUCUUCGGCAAUGGACGAAAGUCUGACCGAGCAACGCCGCGUGAGUGAAGAAGGGUUUCGGAUCGUAAAACUCUGUUGGUAGAGAAGAACGUUGGUGAGAGUGGAAAGCUCAUCAAGUGACGGUAACUACCCAGAAAGGGACGGCUAACUACGUG
rnacentral:rRNA from 1 species